rnacentral:rRNA from 1 species
CACCGGCGGCUCGAGUGGUAACCGUUAUUAUUGGGUCUAAAGGGUCUGUAGCCGGCCGGAUAAGUCUCUUGAGAAAUCUGGCAGCUUAACUGUCAGGCUUUCAGGAGAUACUGUCUGGCUCGAGGCCGGGAGAGGUGAGAGGUACUUCAGGGGUAGGGGUGAAAUCUUGUAAUCCUUGAAGGACCACCAGUGGCGAAGGCGUCUCACCAGAACGGACCUGACGGCAAGGGACGAAAGCUAGGGGCACGAACCGGAUUAGAUACCCCGGUAGUCCCUGAGCGGGCU